rnacentral:rRNA from 1 species
AGUGAACGCUGGCGGUAGGCCUAACACAUGCAAGUCGAACGGCAGCACAGUAAGAGCUUGCUCUUACGGGUGGCGAGUGGCGGACGGGUGAGGAAUACAUCGGAAUCUACUUUUUCGUGGGGGAUAACGUAGGGAAACUUACGCUAAUACCGCAUACGACCUACGGGUGAAAGCAGGGGAUCUUCGGACCUUGCGCGAUUGAUUGAGCCGAUGUCGGAUUAGCUAGUUGGAGGGGUAAAGGCCCACCAAGGCGACGAUCCGUAGCUGGUCUGAGAGGAUGAUCAGCCACACUGGAACUGAGACACGGUCCAGACUCCUACGGGAGGCAGCAGUGGGGAAUAUUGGACAAUGGGCGCAAGCCUGAUCCAGCCAUACCGCGUGGGUGAAGAAGGCCUUCGGGUUGUAAAGCCCUUUUGUUGGGAAAGAAAAGCAGCAGGUUAAUACCCCGCUGUUCUGACGGUACCCAAAGAAUAAGCACCGGCUAACUUCGUG